CCCUCCUACAAAGGCGUGUCUUUGGUUCCUUGUCUUUGGACACGUAAGAAUUGGAGGCACAAAAAUGUGGAUUUGGAGACAUCUGGGGCCAGCUUGCUCCCCGCAGGCUCAAGAUCAACCAUCUCACAUAC
ensembl:snoRNA